UAAUGAGGGAAGGAAAAGAAACUAACUAGGAUUUUCUUAGUAGCGGCGAGCGAAAAGAAAACAGUUCAGCACUGAGUUAUUUUAUUUUUAUAAUAAAUAUAAGAUGCAGUGUAUGGAAAUAUCAUUUAUCUAGUAUGAUAUAUUAAUAGUCUAAGUCCUUCUUAAAUGAGGCCAUUUACCCAUAGAGGGUGCCAGGCCCGUGACGACAUUAAUGAUUACUAGAUGAUAUUUCUUAAGAGUCGUGUUGCUUGAUAGUGCAGCACAAAUAUGGUGGUAAACUCCAUCUAAAACUAAAUAUAACCAUGAGACCGAUAGCAAACAAGUACCGUGAGGGAAAGUUGAAAAGAACUCUGAAUAGAGAGUUAAAUAGUACGUGAAACUGCUUAGAGGUUAAACCCGAUGAACCUAAAUAUCUAAUAUGAAAAAUUCAUCAUUAAUAAUGUAUUAUAAAUUUAUUUUAUAAUAUAACAAUAAUGUGCAAUUUUUUCAUAUAUAGACAUUGUAAUCUGUUAAUAUAUUAAAAUUUAUCAUAAGUAUACGUAUAUGAAUAGAUUAUAUUUAAUAUAAUAGUAAUAUUAUAUUUAUAUAAAAUUCAUUGAAAAUGCGUAAUACAGAUAAAUUAUUGACAGAUUUAUAUAUAUAUAUAACGCUAACAUUAUACAUGUUAUAAUAAUAUUAUAAUUAUAUAAUUAUAAUUUUUAUUAUAUGCGUUUAUAUGAUUAACAAUGCUAUAGAUUUAGGAUACCUUCGGGACCCGUCUUGAAACACGGACCAAGGAGUCUAACAUGUGUGCAAGUCAUUGGGUCGUAUUUAUAAUGUGAAAAAACUUGUUUUUUCAUAUAUAAAUAUUAUUAAAGUAAACCCAAAGGCGUAAUUAACUUAACUGUUAUAUAAUAUAUAUAAUGGGAUUAUAUAUGUAAAAUUUUUAAUUUUAUGUAUUCCAUCCCGGGGCGUUCUAUAUAGUUAUGUAUAUUAUAAUAAUUAUUUUUAAAGAUUUUUAUUAUAUAUACCUCUAACUGGAGCGUACCUUGAGCAUAUAUGUUGUGACCCGAAAGAUGGUGAACUAUACUAGAUCAGAUUGAAGUCAGGGGAAACCCUGAUGGAAGAUCGAAACAGUUCUGACGUGCAAAUCGAUUGUCAGAAUUUAGUAUAGGGGCGAAAGACCAAUCGAACCAUCUAGUAGCUGGUUCCUUCCGAAGUUUCCCUCAGGAUAGCUGGUGCAAUUAAAAAUGAUUAAAAAUAAUCUUAUCUGGUAAAGCGAAUGAUUAGAGGCAUUAGGGCCGAAACGGCCUUAACCUAUUCUCAAACUUUAAAUGGGUAAGAACCUUAUCUUUCUUGAUUAAUGAAGAUUAAGGUCAUGAUAUAUUGUGCCCAGUGGGCCACUUUUGGUAAGCAGAACUGGCGCUGUGGGAUGAACCAAACGUGAUGUUAAGGCGCCCAAAUUAACAACUCAUACUGAUACCAUGAAAGGCGUUACUUGCUUAAAACAGCAGGACGGUGGACAUGGAAGUCGUAAUCCGCUAAGGAGUGUGUAACAACUCACCUGCCGAAGCAACUAGCCCUUAAAAUGGAUGGCGCUCAAGUUGUAUGCCUAUACAUCACCAUUAAAAUAUAUGAUUUAUAUUCAUAUAAAUGAAUUAUAAAUUUUGAAAUUUUAAUGAGUAGGAAGGUACAAUGGUGUGCGUAGAAGUGUUUGGUGUAAACCUGCAUGGAGCCGCCAUUGGUACAGAUCUUGGUGGUAGUAGCAAAUAAUCGAAUGAGACCUUGGAGGACUGAAGUGGAGAAGGGUUUCGUGUGAACAGUGGUUGAUCACGAGUUAGUCGGUCCUAAGUUCAAGGCGAAAGCUGAAAAAUGAUAAGUUAUAUUAUUAAUAUAAAAAUAUAUAUAUACAUACUUAUUAUUAUUGAACGAAAGGGAAUACGGUUCCAAUUCCGUAACCUGUUGAGUAUACGUUUGUUUUUAAAAAUGGGCUUUAUAUGUGCUCAUCCUGGCAACAGAAAUGACCAUAAAGAAGCCGUCGAGAAAUAUCGAAAGAGUUUUCUUUUCUGUUUCAUAGUCGUAUUACCAUGGAAGUCUUUAGAAGAGAGAUAUGGUAAAUGGACUAGAAGAGCAUGGCAUUUACUGCUGUGUCGAUAUUUUCUCCUCGGACCUUGAAAAUUUAUGGCAGGGUCACGCAAACUUCUUAACAGGCCGUACCGAUAUCCGCAGCUGGUCUCCAAGGUGAAGAGUCUCUAGUCGAUAGAAUA
rnacentral:rRNA from 1 species